rfam:Triticum aestivum genome assembly, contig: Triticum_aestivum_CS42_TGACv1_scaffold_050773_1BS
GAGGUACUCCCUCCGUUCGAAAAUACUUGUCAUCAAAAUGAAUGUAUCUAGAACUAAAAUGCAUCUAUAUACAUCUAUUUCAAUGACAAGUAUUUCCGGACGGAGGGAGUAUUAG